rnacentral:rRNA from 1 species
CCUACGGGAGGCAGCAGUGGGGAAUAUUGGGCAAUGGGCGCAAGCCUGACCCAGCAACGCCGCGUGAAGGAAGAAGGCUUUCGGGUUGUAAACUUCUUUUGACAGGGAAGAGCAGAAGACGGUACCUGUCGAAUAAGCCACGGCUAACUACGUGCCAGCAGCCGCGGUAAUACGUAGGUGGCAAGCGUUGUCCGGAUUUACUGGGUGUAAAGGGCGUGUAGGCGGGCUGACAAGUCAGAUGUGAAAUCCGGGGGCUCAACCCCCGAACUGCAUUUGAAACUGUUGGUCUUGAGUAUCGGAGAGGCAGGCGGAAUUCCUAGUGUAGCGGUGAAAUGCGUAGAUAUUAGGCGGAACACCAGUGGCGAAGGCAGCCUGCUGGACGACAACUGACGGUGAGGCGCGAAAGCGUGGGGAGCAAACAGGAUUAGAUACCCCUGUAGUC